GACGAACCGUGCAAACGUUGUUCGGAAUCACUGGGCUUAAAGGGCGCGUAGGCGGGCAAGCAAGUCGAAGGUGAAAUCCCACGGCUCAACCGUGGAAGUGCCCCCGAUACUGCUUGUCUUGAGGGAGAUAGGGGCGUGCGGAACUUCCGGUGGAGCGGUGGAAAUGCGUAGAUAUCGGAAGGAACACCGGUGGCGAAAGCGGCGCGCGUGGAUCGC
rnacentral:rRNA from 1 species